rnacentral:rRNA from 1 species
UACAGAGGUCCCAAGCGUUGUUCGGAUUCACUGGGCGUAAAGGGUGCGUAGGCGGUCGGGUAAGUCUGACGUGAAAUCUUCAAGCUCAACUUGGAAACUGCGUCCGAUACUAUUCGGCUAGAGGAAUGGAGGGGAGACUGGAAUACUUGGUGUAGCAGUGAAAAUGCGUAGAUAUCAGGAGGAACACCGGUGGUGUAAACGGCUCUCUGGACCGUAACUGACGCUGAGGCACAAAAGCGUGGGGUAGCAAACAGGG